GAAGUUUUCAGAGAUGAGAAUGUGCCUUCGGGAACCGUGAGACAGGUGCUGCAUGGCUGUCGUCAGCUCGUGUUGUGAAAUGUUGGGUUAAGUCCCGCAACGAGCGCAACCCUUAUCCUUUGUUGCCAGCGGUUAGGCCGGGAACUCAAAGGAGACUGCCAGUGAUAAACUGGAGGAAGGUGGGGAUGACGUCAAGUCAUCAUGGCCCUUACGACCAGGGCUACACACGUGCUACAAUGGCGCAUACAAAGAGAAGCGACCUCGCGAGAGCAAGCGGACCUCAUAAAGUGCGUCGUAGUCCGGAUUGGAGUCUGCAACUCGACUCCAUGAAGUCGGAAUCGCUAGUAAUCGUGGAUCAGAAUGCCACGGUGAAUACGUUCCCGGGCCUUGUACACACCGCCCGUCACACCAUGGGAGUGGGUUGCAAAAGAAGUAGGUAGCUUAACCUUCGGGAGGGCGCUUACCACUUUGUGAUUCAUGACUGGGGUGAAGUCGUAACAAGGUAACCGUAGGGGAACCUGCGGUUGGAUCACCUCCUUA
rnacentral:rRNA from 1 species